GGAGGCCUUUCCCUUAGUCCUGCCAUCUUCACAGAUAACUUUCUGCCCCACAAUAUGAAUUAAAUUUCCCAACUAAAAUAUGAGGAAGAGUUCAAAGGUUAAGAACUUCAUAUGCAGCCUGGGCUCCACACAACCCAUCAUCUGAGUCAUCAGUACAUAACUUACAGUUCUUACAGAUGGUGUGAGUGGCAAAUGUAGAACACAAGGCAGCAUCCAGGUCCUCUCAGCAGCACAGCUAAACGGGGG